UCGACAGCAGCACGGACUUCGGUCUGGUGGCGAGUGGCGAACGGGUGAGUAAUAUAUCGGAACGUACCCUGGAGUGGGGGAUAACGCAGCGAAAGUUGCGCUAAUACCGCAUACGAUCUACGGAUGAAAGUGGGGGCUCGCAAGACCUCAUGCUCGUGGAGCGGCCGAUAUCUGAUUAGCUAGUUGGUAGGGUAAAAGCCUACCAAGGCUUCGAUCAGUAGCUGGUCUGAGAGGACGACCAGCCACACUGGGACUGAGACACGGCCCAGACUCCUACGGGAGGCAGCAGUGGGGAAUUUUGGACAAUGGGGGCAACCCUGAUCCAGCAAUGCCGCGUGAGUGAAGAAGGCCUUCGGGUUGUAAAGCUCUUUUGUCAGGGAAGAAACGGUGAAGGCUAAUACUCUUUGCUAAUGACGGUACCUGAAGAAUAAGCACCGGCUAACUACGUGCCAGCAGCCGCGGUAAUACGUAGGGUGCAAGCGUUAAUCGGAAUUACUGGGCGUAAAGCGUGCGCAGGCGGUUAUGUAAGUCAGAUGUGAAAUCCCCGGGCUCAACCUGGGAAUGGCAUUUGAGACUGCAUGGCUAG
rnacentral:rRNA from 1 species